rnacentral:lncRNA from 1 species
UUGCAGUGUUGUGCGGAAGAUCAUGUCUGUGCCCUGUGGUGCUGUCAGCAGUGACAGAUCCCAGACGCGGCCGCUACUGUAUGGCAGAUUGAGUUUCUCAGCAGAAAACUCUCCCUCCCUCCCUCCCUCCUGAACGUCUUCAAAAACCUUCUCCAGAUACUGCGGGUCACUUCGGCUCCAGCGGAGAGAGAAAAGGGGAAAAAGCCUUCCCGGUCUCCCACCUUCCCUUCCUCCCGCCGGCUCUUCCUGGGGCGCGGGGGGGCCGUGCCCUACCCUCCCCCCUCUCCCCCCCCUCGGGGGUUCUCUCGGCUCCCCGAUCGCCUCCAGUGCGCUCAGAGCCCGCAGCGGGACGUCUUCUUCAGCAUUAUUUGCAGGGUACAGAACUCAGGAGAAGUUGUAGGGGAGAGGAGAGGGCAUUCAAAAAACAGACCAUUACUUCAUAGAUCUUUACAAGACCCGAACAGGCCCACAUCUGGACUGAGGAGCGGAGAUGAUGGAGAGCGAGGAAUCGGCUGCAAGCAGCCUGCUUCACAGGCACUCCUGGAUGGGUCACCCCAUGCCUGCGAGCAAUGGGUCAGGGCAGUGCUGUCAAUAACAUGGUGUUGUAUGUAAAGCUGGGAGCACAGAGUCCCACACCGUUGUAUGUGCUCAGCAAAGCUCCCAUUUGCCUCCAGGAGAAUUCUGCCUAUGUAAGGACUUAAGAGCCAUUGCUAGGAGCUAAGAAAAGAGCAUUAUUAAUUCACUUCAUCGCUGGCUCAGUGAAAGCCAACAGCUUUCUGCAGUCUUGCCAAAAUGAAGAGGAGAUGGUCUGAGGUACAUGCAGGGUGAUUUUCAUACCGAAGGUGAGAAAGGAGAAAUCGUUUUAAGGUACGGUAACUUGCCGUACAAACGUGAUCUGUGUUCCCUCCCAGCUUUGAAAGGAGACUUUAUAAACUCUGUGGCCUUUGAUUUGUUAAGGCAACCUUAUACUUAUUUUUUUUAAUUCCCAAGUUUGUGAGAAAAUAGAAAGGAACCCUUGAUGUUCUUAUGCUCUCGAUUAUCACUUCAUUGUAGAAGUAUUUGCUUAAUGAAACAUACAGCAAAUAUUGCACUGUAAAACCUGUUGCAAUGUACUCAAUAUCUUUUGGAAUUAAUAGAAAAAAAAAUACAAGACUGCAGAAAAGGCACUAAUUUUUAUUUUAUCUAAUAAAAAUGUUACUUGACUGCAAAGCACUUUGCUUUAUUUUCUCACUUAUAUUGUAUAUAUUUGAAGAGAAAUGUCUGCUGCACGUCAUCUAUCUAACACAAAAAACUGAUGCUGUUAUUAAUAAGUUACAGAGAAAAAUAAACCAGUUUGCACUUUGAUUUUUAUCAUUCCUAGUGAGCGAUUCCUUUGGAAUAAACAUAACUCUAACACAUGUAAACAACACAGGAAAUUAAUAACAAAAUUCUUUGGAUUUAUUUCAGAUGCCACAUACUUUAUGUAAAUAUAUGCGGCUUUCAAUUUCAAUGAUUUUCCAGUAAGUAAUAAACUUUGCUCAUUAACCUCCUUUUAAACUAAACAUUUAUUACUUUAUAAGUGUUAUUUCAACUAAAUCAAGUGGAUAUGCUCAGUAAAUGAAUGCAACAAAUCUGCUCAGCCAGAGAAGCAGGAUAGCUUCUUUUCAGCUGGGCAUACUGUGAGUUUCUUCUUCAGCUUCAAGGGAGUG